rnacentral:tRNA from 1 species
GAGGCUAUAGCUCAGUGGUAGAGUGCAUGCAUAGCAUGCAUGAGGUCCUGGGUUCAAUCUCUAGUACUUCCA